rnacentral:rRNA from 1 species
UUCCUACGGGGGGCAGCAGUGAGGAAUAUUGGUCAAUGGGCGGGAGCCUGAACCAGCCAAGUCGCGUGAGGGAUGACGGUCCUACGGAUUGUAAACCUCUUUUGCCGGGGAGCAAGCGUGCGUUCGUGAACGCGCGUCGAGAGUACCCGGAGAAAAAGCAUCGGCUAACUCCGUGCCAGCAGCCGCGGUAAUACGGAGGAUGCGAGCGUUAUCCGGAUUUAUUGGGUUUAAAGGGUGCGCAGGCGGGAGAUCAAGUCAGCGGUAAAAUGUCGGGGCUCAACCCCGGCCGGCCGUUGAAACUGGGU